AACGAACGCUGGCGGCAUGCCUAAUACAUGCAAGUCGAACGAACACUUCGGUGUUAGUGGCGCACGGGUGCGUAACGCGUGGGAAUCUACCCUUGGGUUCGGAAUAACAGUUGGAAACGACUGCUAAUACCGGAUGAUGACGUAAGUCCAAAGAUUUAUCGCCCAAGGAUGAGCCCGCGUAGGAUUAGCUAGUUGGUGGG
rnacentral:rRNA from 1 species